rnacentral:rRNA from 1 species
UGGGGAAUAUUGGACAAUGGGGGAAACCCUGAUCCAGCAAUGCCGCGUGGGUGAAGAAGGCCUGCGGGUUGUAAAGCCCUUUCGGUGAGGACAAAACGCGCCACAUUAAUACCGUGGUGUUUUGAUUUAACUCACUAAAGAAGCACCGGCUAACUCUGUGCCAGCAGCCGCGGUAAUACAGAGGGUGCAAGCGUUAAUCGGAAUUACUGGGCGUAAAGCGCACGUAGGCGGCUUGGUAAGUUGGAUGUGAAAUCCCCGGGCUUAACUUGGGAAUUGCAUUCAAGACUGCCUUGCUAGAGUGUGGAAGAGGGAAGCGGAAUUCCAGGUGUAGCGGUGAAAUGCGUAGAUAUCUGGAGGAACAUCAGUGGCGAAGGCGGCUUUCUGGUCCAACACUGACGCUGAGGUGCGAAAGCGUGGGGAGCAAACAGGAUUAGAUACCCCCGUAGUCC